GCAGGCUGAUGUUGAAGAUGCGGCUGAAGUUGUGGAGGGUCCGGUUCCAGCGCAGCUGCGCCGCCGCCUCCGACGGGCUCUCGAGGGCCGAGAAGACGGUGGCGCCGGCGCUCAGGGCUUCGCCAUCCUCAACGAAAGGAGCACCACGUGUAUCUGGAAACGGGGCUGCUGGGCAGACAAAGCGUCAAGACAGGAAAGCCUGCUUUGUCCUGUUGACAUAAAAGCCAAGACCCUGCAGCUGCAUCUCUCACAAAUCUCUCCAGCCAGUGGCAUUGACAUGAAGCCUGCUAAGCUGACACCCCCUCCAUCAGGCUGAGGCUUUACAGAAGUGCAGGGGGGGCAGCAUUUGGUCACACCACUGAAGAAAAUGUUGGCAACCCUUUUGGCCUGCCAGUUUUGCUUUCUAGGGAUGAGAAAUAUUCCAGAAAUAUUCCAGGUUUUGCUUUUGUUUUUGCUCCACUGGAGAUGCUAUGAAAUCGCGGCUGGGAUUUUGGCAAGCUUCCCACCAUCCACGAAGGAAAUAAAGAGCAUCCUGCUGGUGUGAGGACCAUUGUACUGGGGACACCUUGUCACGCUGAUAAUGAUCUAAGGGUAUAAAACUCUGCUAUGAAGAAGAGGUGUGCUCUAGCGAGCAGGCUUCAUUCCUGCCCAAAUGCCACUGUGGCUUAUUAUUUUCUAAUGAAGUGAAAUAUAUUUUGUGCUCUCUGAAGUAGACUGUGUUGAUUUAAUUUGUAUUUUAUGAUCAAGAUUCUAAAUUUCAUAUCUUUUAUGUUUUGUAAGUAGUGAGCAGGGAUUUAGCUGCACGACACCCAUUAAUAUCAAUACAGCUAACUCCCCAUGCCCUUCUUUAAAGACUAUUUUAUACAUAACAACAUGGAAUUUCACCUCUUGAUAUUUCUCUCAGUCUCUGCAGGAAAAAAAAUGGUGAUAGCUAAUCUGAAGGCAAGCACACAUUUUAUUAUUGCUCUCAAAGCAUUAAGCAUUUUUAGUACUCUGAAUUUUUCCUGCUGACAAACAACAGGCAGCGUCAAACAUAGAAAUAGCUGCUUUUUUGUGGGCUGGGUUGGGGAAAGUAACAGAACAAUCUCCGGCAAGGAAUCAAAGAUUAUUGUUUAUUUUAUGUAAUUUCAGUGUGCUGCCUUUUGAUUUUUUUGCUUUAGAGAAUUGGUAUGCUCUAAGUUAGGGAGAUACUUCUCCAGUGUGAAAUCCUAUUAAAAAGGAAUGUCUACUUUUCUAGAUGAAAUUUUCUGGGUUUGCUUCCUUUCCCGCAUAUGAAUAAAAAUGAUCCAACUACUGUUGAGAAUGAGAAUAGGAAAAAAAAGACAUGUUUUCCAAGCAAAAGAUGUGAACUUUGUUCUUUCAUUGUCGUUACAAACCAUGUAUUCUGCCUUUCGUCUCAACCAUUAAAUUUGUCUCCCUGUGCCUCCCACUACGAAAAGAGAAAAUUCACAUCUCAAACACCCGUUGUUCAUCCUGUCACUAUCCAGGAGAAUGGAACAACCUGGCGAUGCUCCUGGAUGAUUUUGAGUGUUUUACAGCAGGAGGAAAGACCUGUCAACACCACCCGAGGACUGUCGGUAGGUCUUGGGCAUAGCGAGGUGAGCUAUUUGAGCUCAGCUUGGGGAGAGCUCUU